rnacentral:tRNA from 1 species
GGUGGCUCAGGGGUAGAGCACCUGCCUCGCAUGCAUGAAGCCCUGGGUUCGAUUCCUCAGCACCA